AUUAAUGAUCAUAUGUUUGGCCUGUAUGCAUUGUUUGUUUAAUUAAAGUUUUGCCUUAUAUAUAUGUUUACAACCCUGAUGCUUUCAUUUUGUACUUUAUAUAUGAUUGAUGCUUUAAUUGAUUAGGUUAAAAUCAAAUUAAUUGAAAUGAAGAUUGAUGGUAUAGAUGCUUUGAGAGGAGCUGUUUCUAGUGGGAUGUUUUGCGCUAUAAACUGAUGUAAGCUAGUAUCUGCAGUGUUAAGCUAGUAUCCCCA
rnacentral:lncRNA from 1 species